rnacentral:lncRNA from 1 species
UUCUUAUUUUUUUCCCCAUUACCUGUGCGCCCUUCACCCGCUCCGCCCUUCCCUAUUUACAUAGAUUUCAUUUCCAUGUUUUCUUUUCUCAUAGUUUUUCCUUUCCCUCUUUUCCUUUCCCCUUCCCCUCCCUUCACUCCUUCAUCUUUGGACCUUUUUUCCUAUUUCAAAUUAUCAGUUAUUCAUUUUAAUCAUUUUAACCCUUGUUUACACUUUCAGUUUCUCACACUAGAGAAACUAUUUGGUAUUUACUCAUGUGUGUCCUAUUUGUUUCACUUAAGAGUAUGGCCUCGAUAUCCAUCCAUUUAGCUAUAAAUGCCUCUAGUUUUUCAUUCCUUAUGAUUGAGUAGUACUCCAUUUUAUUAAAAAACCACAUUUUCUUUAUCCAGUUUCCAGCUGAUGGGCACUUGGGCUGUUUCCAAGCUUUAGCUAUUACAAACUGUGCCGCUGUGAACAUGGGUGCACAUAUAUCACUGUGGUAUGAUUCUUUUAAUUCUUUUGGGAAGAUACCCAGCAGGGGAGUAGCUGGGUCAAAUGGGACCUGUAGUCCUAGUUCUUUGAGGUAUCUCCAUACUGACUUCCACAGUGGUUGCACCAGUCUGCAUUCCCACUAACAAUGGAGAAGGGUUCCUUUCUCCCCACAACCCCGUCAGCAUUUGUUAUUUGUUGAUUUCUUGAUAGCAGCCAUUCUUUCUGGGGUGAGGUGGAAUCUCAGUGUUGUUUUCAUGUGCCUCUCUUGAAUGAUGAGUGAUGUUGAACAUUUUUUCAUAUGUUUGUUUGCUGCUUUUACUUCUUUGCCUGAGAAAUGUCUGUUCAUUUCAGAUGCCCAUUUUUGAAUUGGGUCUUUGAAUUUGGGGGGUCUGAUUUUUUUCCAUUCUUUAUAUAUUCUAGAUAGUAGUCCUUUGUCUGAGGUACAGCUGCUAAAAUUUUUUCCCACAUUGUAGGUUGUCUGUUAGCUCUGUUGGUGGUUUCUUUUGCAGUGCGGAAGCUUUUUAAUAAGAUGAGAUCCCAGUUGUUGAUUCUUUCUGCUAGUUCUCGUGCUGCUGAGGUUUUCUUCAUGAAGUCUUUUCCUAUGCCAAUGUCUUCAAGAGUUCUACCUAACUUAUCUUCCAGCAAGUUUAGUGUUUCUGUCUUAAUAUUUACAUCUUUAAUCCACUUUGAUCUUCGUUUAGUGCAUAGUGAUAGGUAUGGGUCUAGUUUUAAUCUUUGGCAGGUUGAAAUCCAGUUUUUCCAACACCAUUUAUUAAAUAGGCUAUCUUUCCUCCAGUGAUGGUGAUUGGCUCCUUUGUCAAAGAUGAGGUGGCUGAGCAUGUCUGGAGUUGUUUCUGCAUCUUCUAAUCUAUUCCACUGAUCCUGAGUUCUGUUCCUUUGCCAGUACCAUGCUGAUUUUAUCACAGUAGCUUUGUAGUAUAAUUUCAAGUUGGGGAUUGUGAUACCCCCAACCAUGUCUCUGUUGCUUAGAAUUGCUUUAGCUAUUCUAGAUCUCUUAUGGUUCCAAAUGAAUUUUUGGAUUGUUUUCUCUAGUUCUGUGAAGUAUAUUGUUGGAAUUUCAGUUGGCAUUGCAUUGAAUCUAUAUAGUAGUUUUGGAAGUAUGGCCAUUUUCUCUAUAUUGGUUCUUCCUACCCAGGAGCAAGGGAUGUCUUUCCAUUUUCUUGUAUCCUCUUCAGUCUCUUUUUUCAGAGUGCUGUAGUUUUCAGUGUAGAGGUCUUUUGCUUCCUUUGUUACAUUGAUUCCUAGAUAUUUCAUUUUUCUUGGAUGCUACUGUAAAAGGAAUUGUUUCCCUAAUUUCUCUCUUAGUGAGUCUGUUAUUUGUGUACAAAAAGGCUAUUGUUUUUUGAGUGUUGACCUUGUAUCCAGCUAUUCUACUGAAUCUGUCAAUUAAGUCUAGAAGUCUUCUGGUGGAAUCUUUUGGGUCUUCUAUGUAAAGUGUCAUAUCGUCAGCAAAUAAUGACAGUUUAACUUCUUUUCCUAUCUUUAUUCCUUUUAUUUCUUUCUCUUUUCUAAUUGCUAUGGCUAAUGUUUCCAGAACUGUAUGGAACAGGAGUGGUGAGAGUGGACAUCUUUGUCUUGUUCCUGAUUUUAUCAUGAAAGUUUUCAGUUUUUAACCAUUUAGUAUGAUGUUGGCUGUUGGUUUUUCAUAGAUAGGCUUAAUCAGGUUAAGAUAAAGACCUUCUGUUCCAAUUUUCUGUAGGGUUUUUAUCAUGAAUGGGUGCUGGAUUUUGUCAAAUGCUUUUUCUGCCUCUAUUGAGAUGAUCAUAUGGUUUAUUUCUCUUAAUGUGGUGUAUUACAUUUUUUGAUUUACGAAUGUUGAACCAUCCUUGCAUCCCUGGGAUAAAUCUGACUUGGUUAGGGUGUAUGAUCUUCUUGAUGACUCUCUGUAUUCUGUUUGCCAGUAUUUUGUUGAGGAUUUUUGCAUCUAUGUUCAUUAGGGAGAUUGGCCUAUAGUUCUCUUUUUGGGUUGGGUCUUUCCCUGGUUUUGGAAUCAAAGUAACACUUGCUUCCAGGAAUGAAUUUGGAAGCCUUGCUUCCCUUUCAGUUUCCUUGAUGAGUUUAAAGAGUAAUGGUGUUAGAUCUUCUUUAAAUGUCUUGUAAAUUUCAGCAGUGAAGCUAUCCGGACCUGGGCUUUCCUUUGUUGGGCAGAGGCAUUUAUUGCUAAGGUAUCUGGAAAGUUGGAGUUCUGUGUAAAACCUUUUGAUUGUCAAAUGUUGGCAAACUACCGUCACGUUAAAUAUAUUGGCCUGCGAGAUCGGGGCUGUGGGCCACCAGUGUGCACUCUAUUCCAAAAGCUCUUUCAGGAAUGACGUAGGAGAUGGGACUCAGUAAGCUGAUGUCCCCUGGCUUCAGGGGUCCUGAAGAAAUGGAAUGAGUGGGGAGGUCCAGGCCUAGAUCCCUCCAGAGCACUGUAAUGGUAUAGGACAGCCUGGCUCCUGAAUGCCUUUUCAUGCCCACUGUGCCCUCCUAGUGUACGCUGCUGGCAAAGCAGCCACCUCAGGUGUGCCAAGCAUCUACGCCCCCAGCACCUAAGCCUACCUCUCCCCUGCCAAGACCCCACCCCCACUGCCAAUCAUGAUUCCCAUGGGCCCCAUCUACAAUGGCUACCCUGGAGGGUACCCUGGAGACUUCGAUAGGAACAGCUCAGUGGGCGGCCACAGCUCUCAGGUACCCCUGCUUUGAGACACGGACAGCAAUUCAACCUCUGGUAAGAGCCCAUCAUUCCAAGGUUGGACAGUGGGGGUGGGUGGGUAGGUGAGCAUCCUAUCUGCCAACCUGGUCAUUUCCGCCUCUGUCUCUAGAAGUCCGUAGUGGCUACGGAUCCAGGCCAAUCAGCAGGAUGAUUCCAUGAGAGUCCCAGCCAGGUUCCGCAGAAUCUGCAAGGUCUCCUGCAAGUAGCGGGAGGAGAGGAAGGGCCUAUGCACCCCCUCGAAGCCGCAGCCGUGAUGACCUCUUCAACCCAGACGUCUCGAGGGACUUCCCACACUCUGGAGAUCCCCAUUGUGAUGACUUCAAAUCUAGUAGGGACCGCCCUCCUGCUGACCCCAGAUCCCGCUACCGGUCCCGGGACCCUCGAGAUGAUGGCUCCAGGCCCAGGGAUCCCCAAUAUGAUGGGCGGCUGCUAGAAGAGGCCUUUUCUUUCUCUUGCAGAACUUGGCCCUCAGUCGGGAAAGUUUAGUCGUCUGAUCUCACAUUUUGUAUGUAGCUUUUGUACUUUUUAUUUUUUGGUACUGGGGACUAAACCCACAGGUUUCGCACUGAGCUACGUCUCCGGCCCUUUUUCACUUUUUAAAAUUUUGAGACAGGGUCUCGCAGAGUUGCUGAAGCUGAGCUCGAAUUUACAGUCCUGCCUCGGCCUCCCUGUGUUGGAAUUGCAGGCAUGCGUGCCACUAACUUGCGCCACUUCAUGGAGCUGAUACUUUUUUUAAUUUGAGAGAAUAUUGAAGAUCUCCUAAGUCUAAUAAAAUUGAUAAACACACGGCCCGUCUUGAGAGAAGCGUUCGUUGCUGC